AGAGUUUGAUCCUGGCUCAGGAUGAACGCUAGCGACAGGCCUAACACAUGCAAGUCGAGGGGCAGCGGGGAGGUAGCAAUACCUCUGUCGGCGACCGGCGCACGGGUGAGUAACACGUAUGCAAUCCACCUGUAACAGGGGGAUAACCCGGAGAAAUCCGGACUAAUACCCCAUAAUAUGGGCGCUCCGCAUGGAGGGCUCAUUAAAGAAAGCAAUUUUGGUUACAGACGAGCAUGCGCUCCAUUAGCCAGUUGGCGGGGUAACGGCCCACCAAGGCGACGAUGGAUAGGGGUUCUGAGAGGAAGGUCCCCCACAUUGGAACUGAGACACGGUCCAAACUCCUACGGGAGGCAGCAGUGAGGAAUAUUGGUCAAUGGUCGGCAGACUGAACCAGCCAAGUCGCGUGAGGGAAGACGGCCCUACGGGUUGUAAACCUCUUUUGUCGGAGAGUAAAGUACGCUACGUGUAGCGUAUUGCAAGUAUCCGAAGAAAAAGCAUCGGCUAACUCCGUGCCAGCAGCCGCGGUAAUACGGAGGAUGCAAGCGUUAUCCGGAUUUAUUGGGUUUAAAGGGUGCGUAGGCGGCACGCCAAGUCAGCGGUGAAAUUUCCGGGCUCAACCCGGAGUGUGCCGUUGAAACUGGCGAGCUAGAGUACACAAGAGGCAGGCGGAAUGCGUGGUGUAGCGGUGAAAUGCAUAGAUAUCACGCAGAACCCCGAUUGCGAAGGCAGCCUGCUAGGGUGAAACAGACGCUGAGGCACGAAAGCGUGGGUAUCGAACAGGAUUAGAUACCCUGGUAGUCCACGCAGUAAACGAUGAAUACUAACUGUUUGCGAUACAAUGUAAGCGGUACAGCGAAAGCGUUAAGUAUUCCACCUGGGGAGUACGCCGGCAACGGUGAAACUCAAAGGAAUUGACGGGGGCCCGCACAAGCGGAGGAACAUGUGGUUUAA
rnacentral:rRNA from 1 species